GACGAACGCUGGCGGCGUGCUUAACACAUGCAAGUCGAACGGUAAGGCCCUUCGGGGUACACGAGUGGCGAACGGGUGAGUAACACGUGGGUGCUCUGCCCUGCACUUCGGGAUAAGCCUGGGAAACUGGGUCUAAUACCGGAUAGGACUCCUGGCUUCAUGGUUGGGGGUGGAAGGCUUUUGCGGUGUGGGAUGGGCCCGCGGCCUAUCAGCUUGUUGGUGGGGUAAUGGCCUACCAAGGCGACGACGGGUAGCCGGACUGAGAGGGUGACCGGUCACACUGGGACUGAGAUACGGCCCAGACUCCUACGGGAGGCAGCAGUGGGGAAUAUUGCACAAUGGGCGCAAGCCUGAUGCAGCGACGCCGCGUGAGGGAUGACGGCCUCCGGGUUGUAAACCUCUUUCAGCUAUGACGAAGCGCAAGUGACGGUAGUAGCAGAAGAAGGACCGGCCAACUACGUGCCAGCAGCCGCAGUAA
rnacentral:rRNA from 1 species